GCUAAUCUUAUAUGUCAAAAGAGAUGAACAUCUUCUUAUUUUUCUCUUUUACUUCUGUUGUUGUUCCGCCAUUGCCUUAAGCUUUUCCUCCAAAAUGUCUUUCUCAAGACCGUACAUUCUGUUCAAAGCAUGCAUAUUCUCAAGGGUCUCGCUCAGCGUUCUACUGUCACUUCCGUCACAUCUCAAAUGCUGCAUUGGACCAUGUAAGAAUCUGUUCACGAUACCUCGGCUUAAGUCAUCAACCGCUCUCGUUGUUUUCUUGUUGAUAUCA
rnacentral:sRNA from 1 species